rnacentral:lncRNA from 1 species
AGUCCUCACCUCCCACAUGCUUUUCAUCACCCGCUCUCACAUCCCAUCUGGGGCCUCUGCUUCCAUCCUACCAUUUCGCAAGCCUGGCCAACUCAAGCUCCGUGUGCUGCACCUAGAGCAGCCCAUCUCUGUGUCAGCUUUCAUAAGGAGGAGUCAGAGAAGUAAUCUGGAGCCACUAAGAGUCAAAGACAGGAAAAAUGGGCUUAAGCAGGAGGAAAAUUCCAGCAGGACAAAGAAACACAGGCUGGGAGGUGAGCUGCUCAGUUGCCAGAGUAUCAACCUGAGCCCAGGACACUGCCAGACUGCUGAGUCAAAGAGGGUUUAGCAGCCCAUUUUCAUAGACAGACAGGUGAGAGGAGGAUGCUGGACAUGGUCCCAGAGACAUGGGGACUCAAGAAACAUGAAGAUCUGUUCACAGCUAAGGGCACAUUUCCAUGCCGAGAAAUCAGGCGUGAGCGCAAGAGUCCUAUCGUCUACCAGAAAAAGAAAUCUUUGGGUAAUUUUUUUCUCUGUCUUAUCUCCGAGUUGGGUGGUGAACUGUGGAAACACUGUAUUGA